rnacentral:tRNA from 1 species
CGCGGCUGUAGGCGAGCUGGAUCUCGGCAGGAGGGUUCGGGGCCAUCUCGGGGGUUCCUUCGACAGGCUCAGUGGCGGUUCGGCUGCCGUGGCUGCGG